UUUAUCUGGGUAUUUCAAAACAUUGGCAGGGUGGAUCACUUUGAUCCCAAUCUGACUGGAUACGGAUUUCCAAAUCUCACGACUCCGCCCCCGGAUCUGAAACGUUUCCCCUUUGGGGGCGUGGCUUUCAGAUAAUGACCCGCUGUGCUCUGUCUCCACGGUGGAGUACUUCACGAAAGGAGCAGUUGGUAGCACAGCUUUCGCAUCAAAAUAAUACACUCACACCCAUGGACCACUCAGCAAUGCCACUGCUAAUGAAGACAACAGGUCGAAUGCUGGAAAUCCCUGGAAAUGUAUCCCCUUUUGUAGAAGGCUCCCACUAAACAUAUAGCACUAUAGCAUCUGAUUUGAUGAAGUAAAAUAAUCACAAACACUUCCUGAAAUACAUUGCUGCAUGUUAUAAAAUCACAGUCAAGCACUUCCCAGGGAUUUUAAAGGUGCAUUUUCAAGCGUACCUGAAUUAAGUAAAAUUUAUCUUCAUUAAAUCAGAAGCAUGAAAAUAUACAUUUAAAGUGCUUAAAUGUGAUUUAAAUUGAGACAUACAGCAAUGUUUUUUCAGGACAUAGUUGAGCUAUUACUUUUCCCCCCUCAAAGAUGUGAUGUAACAUUGGAAAAAUGCAAGUGCACACAUAUCAUUUGUUUCUAAUUGCUUUUUUAGUACUUUGUUUGAAUUGCCAUGUGCUUAUUAUGUUAAUCCCUGUGUUGUUUCUUGCACUCUAUGUAAAGAAAAUGUGCUAUACAAAUAAAUUUGCUUUGCACUGCA